AACGCGAAGAACCUUACCUACCCUUGACAUCCUGCGGACCUUGGCGAGAGCCGAGGGUGCCGAAAGGAACGCAGAGACAGGUGCUGCAUGGCUGUCGUCAGCUCGUGUUGUGAGAUGUUGGGUUAAGUCCCGUAACGAGCGCAACCCUUGUCCUUAGUUGCCAGCAUUUAGUUGGGGACUCUAAGGAGACUGCCGGUGAUGAACCGGAGGAAGGCGGGGACGACGUCAAGUCAUCAUGGCCUUUAUGGGUAGGGCCACACACGUGCUACAAUGGGGCGUACAGAGGGCAGCCAACCCGCGAGGGGGAGCCAAUCUCUUAAAGCGUCUCGUAGUCCGGAUUGGAGUCUGCAACCCGACUCCAUGAAGUUGGAAUCGCUAGUAAUCGCGAAUCAGCAUUGUCGCGGUGAAUACGUUCCCGGGCCUUGUACACACCGACGCAC
rnacentral:rRNA from 1 species